GUUUAUUUUCCGCUUUGAUUGACUUUAAGAUCUCUUAAAGAGACAGAAUCCAGCUACACAGGUCUUCUGAGUUGGAUGGUUGAGUAUUUUUUUGGGUAAAUUGCAGUUUUAUUACAGAACACAGGAGAUAAAUACUGAAAUAAAAACCUUAAAAGAGCUCAGAACCUGAAACAGCCCCGGCCCUGAUCUCCUCCUCCUCCUCCAGCAGCAGAUCCUCGGUGCUGUUGGACUUUUUUUACUCUGGGAUUUGCUGUUAAAGUCCCGCUCUCUGCCCACCGCAGCGCCGAGGUCCAGAUGGAGUGACCAUCUGCCUGCUGGUGAGGAUGAAUGAGGAGCUGAGGAUGGGAUGGGAUUAGUCUCUGUGAGAGCAGAAUGCACUUUUUCACCCUGAAAGAGAGCAGGACUCAAAAAAACUCAAUUGUUCGUUCAGGCAAACGCUUUUUAUUCCAGCCUUUAAAGGUCACUGUAGCUCUUUAUCUGCUGUAAAGGGUAAACUGUUCUAUUUUCCUCACAUACAUUUAUAAAUAGUAUUUUUUAUAGCAUUUAAACUGUCCCUUCCCAUCCAUCCCUGGAUUUACAGCCUAAACUAAUCUCUGAGUCUGAGUGCUGAAGUUUCAAAACCAACCCAUUGAUUUCUCUAUUAUGUUUCUUUUUUGGUUUAUUUCAAACAAUGAUCUUUCAUAUAAUUCACUUUAGUUUCUGUUGGCGCUUCUGCUAGGGGUCCAUUGGGACUGUGCCUGCGUGAUAUAACUCGACUGGUGGUAGAUUGAGUGAGGUAAAUGUGGUAAAAUUAGAGUACAUUAUAGUGAGGUAGAGUCAGGUGGAGCAAGGCAGAGUGAGGUAUGGUGAGGUAUGGUGAGGUAUGGUGAGGUAUGGUGAGGUAUGGUGAGGUAGAGCGAGGUAGAGUGAUUUAGAGUGAGAGUAAGGUAUAGUGAGUGAGGCAGGGGUCAGCAAUU